GAUUGAACGCUGGCGGCAGGCCUAACACAUGCAAGUCGAACGGUAACAGGAAGCAGCUUGCUGCUUCGCUGACGAGUGGCGGACGGGUGAGUAAUGUCUGGGAAACUGCCUGAUGGAGGGGGAUAACUACUGGAAACGGUAGCUAAUACCGCAUAACGUCGCAAGACCAAAGAGGGGGACCUUCGGGCCUCUUGCCAUCGGAUGUGCCCAGAUGGGAUUAGCUAGUAGGUGGGGUAACGGCUCACCUAGGCGACGAUCCCUAGCUGGUCUGAGAGGAUGACCAGCCACACUGGAACUGAGACACGGUCCAGACUCCUACGGGAGGCAGCAGUGGGGAAUAUUGCACAAUGGGCGCAAGCCUGAUGCAGCCAUGCCGCGUGUAUGAAGAAGGCCUUCGGGUUGUAAAGUACUUUCAGCGGGGAGGAAGGUGUUGAGGUUAAUAACCUCAGCAAUUGACGUUACCCGCAGAAGAAGCACCGGCUAACUCCGUGCCAGCAGCCGCGGUAAUACGGAGGGUGCAAGCGUUAAUCGGAAUUACUGGGGCGUAAAGCGCACGCAGGCGGUCUGUCAAGUCGGAUGUGAAAUCCCCGGGCUCAACCUGGGAACUGCAUUCGAAACUGGCAGGCUAGAGUCUUGUAGAGGGGGGUAGAAUUCCAGGUGUAGCGGUGAAAUGCGUAGAGAUCUGGGAGGAAUACCGGUGGCGAAGGCGGCCCCCUGGACAAAGACUGACGCUCAGGUGCGAAAGCGUGGGGAGCAAACAGGAUUAGAUACCCCUGGUAGUCCACGCCGUAAACGAUGUCGACUUGGAGGUUGUGCCCUUGAGGCGUGGCUUCCGGAGCUAACGCGUUAAGUCGACCGCCUGGGGAGUACGGCCGCAAGGUUAAAACUCAAAUGAAUUGACGGGGGCCCGCACAAGCGGUGGAGCAUGUGGUUUAAUUCGAUGCAACGCGAAGAACCUUACCUACUCUUGACAUCCAGAGAACUUAGCAGAGAUGCUUUGGUGCCUUCGGGAACUCUGAGACAGGUGCUGCAUGGCUGUCGUCAGCUCGUGUUGUGAAAUGUUGGGUUAAGUCCCGCAACGAGCGCAACCCUUAUCCUUUGUUGCCAGCGGUCCGGCCGGGAACUCAAAGGAGACUGCCAGUGAUAAACUGGAGGAAGGUGGGGAUGACGUCAAGUCAUCAUGGCCCUUACGAGUAGGGCUACACACGUGCUACAAUGGCGCAUACAAAGAGAAGCGACCUCGCGAGAGCAAGCGGACCUCAUAAAGUGCGUCGUAGUCCGGAUUGGAGUCUGCAACUCGACUCCAUGAAGUCGGAAUCGCUAGUAAUCGUGGAUCAGAAUGCCACGGUGAAUACGUUCCCGGGCCUUGUACACACCG
rnacentral:rRNA from 1 species